rnacentral:lncRNA from 1 species
CCUAAAUUCUCAUAUCGCCGAUUCCCACAUGGCACUCCGAUCAAAUCCCUCCGCCUAUAAGUCAGUCUCCAUCGUCGACAUACUCGCCGAUUCACCAAAACCCUAGCUUUGUUCCAAUCCUCUUCCCUCUGAAAUAAACCCGAUUUUCGAUUCGGUGUUCUCAGAUCUCGGCUUUUUUUUUUUCUAGAUGGAUGGAGGAGGACGACGAGAUGCAUUCACCGGUGUCGGCGGGGAGCGGAUCCCCGGCGUCGCCUAGAGUGAACGGUCGGAUAACGGCGC